rnacentral:rRNA from 1 species
UACGAAGGAUUCGAGCGUUAUCCGGAUUUAUUGGGUUUAAAGGGUGCGUAGGUGGAUUAAUAAGUCAGUGGUGAAAGCCCGGAGCUCAACUCCGGAACUGCCAUUGAUACUGUUAGUCUUGAGUACAGUUGAGGUGGGCGGAAUGUGUCAUGUAGUGGUGAAAUGCUUAGAUAUGACACAGAACACCGAUUGCGAAGGCAGCUCACUAAGCUGUAACUGACACUGAGGCACGAAAGCGUGGGGAGCAAACAGG